GGGGUCCCAUGCAGCACACAAAAGAUGGGCCAGCAGAUGGUCACAUGUCAAUCCCUCCCCUGGGCCCAGCCCACCAGCCACACCCCAAGCCAAUGUCCUGGCCUCACAGCUGCAACUGGCCAAAGACCAAGCUCGGAUCUUUUUGGUCCCCGCCAUUCUCCCCCAAAAACCUCUUCGGCACCUUCCGGAUCUGGCAGGUUCAUCAGAGUGCCAACAACCUGUGCCACUCAGCCCACCCCAACCCCCACACUGGCAGGCCACACGCCAAGCAGCCCUUGGGGAAGAUGGGGCACUGCGCUUUAGAGACUGUUCUGGGUACCAGGAUCUCGGGUGGAGGAGAGGACCAAGAGGGACAGGCCCUCAGCCCAGGGCAGCGUCGUUGCCCGGUUCUCCAUCAAUAAGGCAUGGGGUGAGUUACGCGCCACAGGAACCCAGCUGGAGGUCAGAAACCUGUCCACGCACGGCAGCUUGGGGCUCCCCCAGCGGUCCUCAGGGCCUCGCUGCCUGCUCCGGCCUCUGCACCCACCGGGGGCUCUGCCUUCCUCCUUGGGCUCUCAGCUCAGACUCCUUCCAUGAUGUGGGUAUUUUUAGCCAUCUUUGGGGGGAAAUUUUCCUGUUUGAUGACAAAAGACUUAUUCCCUCCUGGGGUGGGAGCCAAGCCAUGCAAAUCCUCUUGGUGUUGCAGGUGACACAUCAAGAAGCUGUCACCGGCAUAAUAACUCAAACCUUUGUGGGCACAAGAACACGUUCUCAAAGAAAUCCUGUGACUUCAAAUAGCAGUACUGUGAGCUGCUCUCUGCUUCCAGUUUGGGGUAGGAAUUCACACACCCCAGGGACAGAACAAAAGUCUACAGGAACUCGGGUGGCGGUAAGCACAGAGAAAAGGGGCUUUUACAUCACCGGAUAAUCACAUUUGACGGUUCUCUAGCAUGUUCCCCGUGGAGCACAGAGAUUUCUGCAAAGCCUUUCAUCUCCGGCAGCAAGUGGGCGGCGAGUUAUUGUCACCCUGCGUUUUGCAGGGGUGAGUGCCAGUGAUCGGGGAUCUCCCAUGAGGCAGAGGCCAGGCCUCCAAGCCUCCCUACAGAGGCAUCCACGUGCCUACCUGCCUCCCAGAGGAGGGUCGGGUGGGGAAGCCAAAGCAUGGUUCUGGCCUUUAAAGGAGCCACAGAUCCAAAACCAG
rnacentral:lncRNA from 1 species